CCUGUCCCCCUCCCCUCUGCCCCCACCAUCGGGCCUCCCCACCCGCCACUCUCCUCUACCUCCUGCACCUCAGCGUCCCUCCACCCUGUGUACCGACAGACCUCUCCAGGCCCAAGACGUCCCCUCACCCCUAGCUUACCCCUAUGUCCCCUCCUUCUCCCUCUCUCCAGCUUCCCCAAUGACCCCACGCAAUUGGAGCGAGCCCCGGCAGGCCUCAAGUUGGACAGAGUCACAGAUUUUCCUGCACAGGCCAGGACCACAACCACUCCCCUCCACCACCCACUCCUCACACCUCCUCACCCCCUCCACUGACCAUGUGGUGGCACAUCCUGACUGGCUCCAGCUCAGGGAGGCUCAGGGAGAUGGCCAGGACCCCCCACUGCUCACUCACUCUGCAGGUGUAGUGCCUCCAUUCUGCAGGGUCUAUAUCCACCUCAGAGCCAGAAGAGGUGGCCAGAGACCCCAGACCACUCUAGGGAGAGGUGAGCUGAUUGCCUUUUCUUGGUUAAUGGCACCAGCUUCACCCCGAUGCCUCAGUGGGAAAUCAACAGGUCAUCCUGAAUUCUUCCCCACUAUCUUCCAAAGUCCAUGAGGUCGCUGAGGUGUGCAGACCCUGGGUGACUUCCUAAUCUAUUAGCCCAGACCCGCAGGAAGGGGGACUGUGCUUAUGUUCCUGUUGCCCAACAUCACACUUUGCCCCCAUUCUAGCAGGUGGUGGCAGAAACUUCAUCUCAAUCAUUUGGGGCCCCCCGCCCUUUCCACAGAGUGGUCCAAGCACCAGGAGAGGGGACAGGGAGCCCAAGUCUUGAAGGGGAAGGAGAAGAGAUCUGCUCACGUCUCACACCCUCUCAUUCACACUCACCUGUCCCUGCUCACCUGUCCACAAAAGCACAGCACAGUGUGACCAGCCUCACCCAGCAUGCCCCUGCAGCAGGGCCAACACUGGCCUCACUUCUUGCCUAUGUGAAGGAAGACUUCCCUGGGGCGCUGCACCUCCAGACGAGGUGGGGCACCUGUCAGUGAGGGCACUCGGGCUCUCCAUACUUUGUAGCUCUCAUGGCAAGUGGUACAGAAGAACUAGGGCCCUGUUGGGAUGCAGAAGAUGAAGCCACAGGCAAGAGAGCUGAGCUUUGAAGGCGAGAUGGGAAACAAACCUCGAGCCCCAUGCCUCUGAAGAAACUGCCAUCAGUGAGAAAGUCCCCAGGGAGGAGGCAGCAGGAGACAUUAUAAGGACAGUGUUCUCUUAUUUUCAGCUUUCACAUUGCUCACCAGGUAAGUCUGGGAUGCAAAAUUUCAUACCAAUGUUGCCACUGAAUGUCAGUGAAUUCUGAUCAUGCCUGCUCUCGGGUGUGGCACCCGGCAGCAGGUGCCUCGAUCCCACACAUGCAGAAGCAGAUACCCCAUGGAGCCUGGGUGAGAAUCCAGGGCCAUCUCAAGUGUAGCUGCCAGAGGACCCAGACUUCCAAUCUGCAGACACUGCAAGAUAAUCAAAAUGUGCUGUCUGCAGCCCCUCAGUUUGUGGUGAUGGUCAUGCAGUUGCUGACAGCUGUCAUGGGGGGGAUCAGGGAAAGAGGCCCCAUGUCUGGGUUGGGGGGAUGGACAGAAGGAAACUGUUCCACAAAUGCUAUAAGCUGAAUGCUUGUGUCACCCCAAAACUCCUGCUUGAAUCCUAACCCCCUGUGUGGGGUGGGGUGUUAUAGGAGGGGGCUUUGGGGUGAGUAGGUCAUGGAUGGGGCGGGCCCUCAGGAUGGAUUGGUGCCCUGGCCUUUGCUGCUGUUGCACACGGACACCAUGAGGAGAUGGCCUCGCUAUGGUCGAACUGGUUGGCUUCUUUGUCUCAGAGACCAGUCUCCAGAGCCGCGAGAAAUAAAUGUCUUUAUAAGCCACACAG